AGUUUGAUCCUGGCUCAGGAUGAACGCUGGCGGCGUGCUUAACACAUGCAAGUCGAACGGUGAACACGGAGCUUGCUCUGUGGGAUCAGUGGCGAACGGGUGAGUAACACGUGAGCAACCUGCCCCUGACUCUGGGAUAAGCGCUGGAAACGGCGUCUAAUACUGGAUAUGUGACGUGACCGCAUGGUCUGCGUCUGGAAAGAAUUUCGGUUGGGGAUGGGCUCGCGGCCUAUCAGCUUGUUGGUGAGGUAAUGGCUCACCAAGGCGUCGACGGGUAGCCGGCCUGAGAGGGUGACCGGCCACACUGGGACUGAGACACGGCCCAGACUCCUACGGGAGGCAGCAGUGGGGAAUAUUGCACAAUGGGCGCAAGCCUGAUGCAGCAACGCCGCGUGAGGGACGACGGCCUUCGGGUUGUAAACCUCUUUUAGCAGGGAAGAAGCGAAAGUGACGGU
rnacentral:rRNA from 1 species